UGGGGAAUAUUGCACAAUGGGCGAAAGCCUGAUGCAGCAACGCCGCGUGAGGGACGACGGCCUUCGGGUUGUAAACCUCUUUUAGCAAGGAAGAAGCGAAAGUGACGGUACUUGCAGAAAAAGCGCCGGCUAACUACGUGCCAGCAGCCGCGGUAAUACGUAGGGCGCAAGCGUUAUCCGGAAUUAUUGGGCGUAAAGAGCUCGUAGGCGGUUUGUCGCGUCUGCUGUGAAAACCCGAGGCUCAACCUCGGGCCUGCAGUGGGUACGGGCAGACUAGAGUGCGGUAGGGGAGAUUGGAACUCCUGGUGUAGCGGUGGAAUGCGCAGAUAUCAGGAAGAACACCGAUGGCGAAGGCAGAUCUCUGGGCCGUAACUGACGCUGAGGAGCGAAAGGGUGGGGAGCAAACAGGCUUAGAUACCCUGGUAGUCCACCCCGUAAACGUUGGGAACUAGUUGUGGGGUCCAUUCCACGGAUUCCGUGACGUAGCUAACGCAUUAAGUU
rnacentral:rRNA from 1 species